CAGUGCUUGACUGGAAAGUACCUGGUGUGAUACAGCUUCUCGGUGUGGCUCACUCAUCUGGGGGGAAGAGCAGCCCUGUGUCCUGUGGUGAGGUUAACAUGAAGUAAGCUUUUAAUUAAGUGGGAGAAAAAAGGGGGCAUUUUACCUCAAUCAGAUUAAAUCAGUCCUCUCUUCGGCGUGUGACCGUGAUACCGAAGUAGCACGAGGUCAAAAUAUCUGAAAGCCGUUCCAUUUGUGGUACAGCAGCAAUAUGGUUUACAGGUUCCCAGGAGAGGAGGUGGCGUGAACCCCUGGCAAGGUGACAGCAGCAGAGGGAACCACUGGGCAAGU
rnacentral:lncRNA from 1 species